rnacentral:rRNA from 1 species
CACGUAGGGGGCAAGCGUUGUCCGGAUUUAUUGGGCGUAAAGAGCUCGUAGGUGGUUCGGUAGGUCGGGUGUGAAACCUCCAGGCUCAACCUGGAGACGCCACCCGAUACUGCUGUGACUGGAGUCCGGUAGGGGAGCGUGGAAUUCCUGGUGUAGCGGUGAAAUGCGCAGAUAUCAGGAGGAACACCAGCGGCGAAGGCGGCGCUCUGGGCCGGUACUGACACUGAGGAGCGAAAGCGUGGGUAGCAAACAGG